GGGUCUCGACGUAGUCACCUCCUAGUUGGUGAGACCUGGUAAUUGGCAUCGGUUUCCUUUUUAUAUUAUUUGAUUAUAAAUAUAUUAGAAAGAUUAUAUUAUUAAAAUUAUAUUUGAAAUAUUAUAUUAGUUGUUUUAUAUUAUAAAGAUUUUAUAUUAGUUUUUGGAAACUGAUGGCAAGCUAAGAACUACAUUAAUUUCUUUUUGUAUGUUUCAGAUUUUUUUUAAUUUAAUUAUAGUAUUUUGAUUAUUUUACAAAUAAUUUCGAAUAUUUAUAAUUCGCAAUAUAUCUUAAAAAAAUUAAUAAUCUAAAUUUUGACAACGAACAAUUAUAACUUUUACAAUAAUGUAACUUUUCUAAAUUAAUAGUUUAAAUUUAUAAAAUUAAUAAAUAUUUUAAAAUAUUAGAUAUAAUUAUAACAAAUAAUAUUUUAUAUAGCAAUAUUUUCUUAAACAAAUGCUUCAUAAAAAAAAAGAAGGAAAAAUAUCAAAGAAAUAUUUUACUUCUUUUUUUAAUUCGCCCCUCUAAUGAUACAGUGUUACUUUUGUGAUCGCGCGCAAUGCGGUCAGUAGAAUCAGUGCUUUGUUUCGUAAAAGUUUUUUUAAAUCCUUUAAUGGAUAACGCGAAAUUAGAAUCAGUGUUUGCUUCGUAAUAGUUUUCUUAAAUCCUUUAACGGAUAACGCGAAAUUAGAGUCAGUGCUUCUUUCAAGAAAAUAAGGCGGUCAUCCAUCACGCGAAGAGAUGUGCCACAUCCUUCUACACGAUGAUGACUUCCCAAUGUGCCAUAGAAAUUCUUCGCAUCUAAUGGUGAGUCGCAUGCUUUUUAAUUCCUCUGGUCCACUCAAUCAUGUCGUAGGACGAAAGGUCCGAAUCGACACGAGUGACUAGUUGUAUACGUAGAUUUUUGCACGAGCAUAGUGACCACGGGUAUUUUAUUUUAUUACUCGUGAGUAGUAACAUUUUGUGUGUUUUAUUUAUCAGUUUAGGCUAGGUCUUCUUGCACAUCGCGUUUUUGAAUAUUAAAAACAAUAAUAUUAAAAACAAAAAUGUUUUUAUUUUUCAUUUCAUUCAUGUAAUAAUAAAUUUUUAAAAUUUUUAAUUUCAAAAUUUAGUAUAUUUCAAAAUUUUCAAUUUUAAAAUAUAAUUAUUAUUUAUUUUAUUUUCUCUUGUUUACGAAAAUAUAUUAAAUUAUAUGUGCAAAAAGACAAUUCGCGACAGAUAGAUUUUGGAAUCAAAGCAACACGUUUUGAAUAUUGCUUUCAUCUUAAAUAUGUUUUGAUGAAGAAAUCGUCUGAGGUUAUUUUUAUUAAUAAAUUUCUUUUUCAAAUUUUGCCUAGUAAUAUUAAAGUUAAAAAUCAAAAAUUACCUAGUAUAAAUAUUAAAAUUAAUAUUUCAUUAAAUUAGAAAAAUAAAGUUUGAAAUAAUUUAAAUAAAUUAAAGAAUAUUAGCCCGUUAGAUGCAAAAUAUACUAAUGUAUCUUUUUUAGCUCAGGAUUUUCAGGUUUAACCCUUUCCGUAUCCAUUGCCAGGAUCUCGCUCACGUGCUCAGAUGCUACUUGGGUGAGAGAAAGGCGAUGGGUAUGACGACUAGUUGAUAAGUUUAUACAAAUUUUUCAGCGACUGACGAUGAGUUGGUGAUCGUGCACGACGUAUUUUCCACAUUAUGUGUGUGUGGUUAGGCUGUGGAAUUGCGUCGGUUACGAUUAUUAUUUCAUUCACUAUUACUAAUUUUCAUAAUAAUUCAAACUAUCGCAUUUACUAUUACAUCUUUUACGAAAUUAUAUCAUAUAUAUCUAUGAAAUUAAUCGCAAAUUAUAAUUAUAUUGUUUAUCAAAUUUUUUAUUACCUAAUCCAGUAAUAUCAUCUUUUUUUUAACUUACACGUGUUCUUUCAAUCAUAAAUAGAAUUACAAGUACAAUUAAAAUAUUUUUAUCGCGAUUUACGCAAUGGUCGCUAGCCAUCGUCAGUCGAUUUCAGGAAAAGGUACGUAAAGUUAGAGUGUGAAAGUAGUGUGCCAAGCUCGGGUGUCGGAGGUGUCCCGGGACGCUUUCCCUAGUGUAGGCUUUUGCGCCCGAGCAUUAUGCGUGAGAAUCGUGGAAUGAAUGUGUUGGUGUGCCUGUCUUGCCAUUUUUUUAAAUAUAGGGCUAGGUAGGAUAGGUAGCAUACUUUCUGGUGCGAAUGUUAAUUAUAAGUAGGUAGGGCCGGGCAGGUUGUCACAGUCUCUGGUCGGGUAGGCGCGUUUUCGCGUGACAACCUGUUUCAGGAAAUUAAAUUUGAGAGAUCGAGUGUAAGGCUGAGACGAGUGAUCAUCAAAUGAUCACUCGUUUCUGGCUUUGCUUUCGAUUUUUCGAAUUCCGCGGUCGCGGUCGCGAUUUGGUUUCGAAACGAACGUUGCGCUCGAGAUUCUGCACAUGUACGGACAAUGGUCGCUGCGAUCGUUAGUCGUCCAUGUGCAUUCAGUUUCCGCGAUUUAGACUUUUUUUUUUCUUUUUUUUUUUAUCUACGAUUAGUGAAUCUCGAGCCUAGAUUUAAGUUUCAGCGGGCAUUGCGCCCGAAGGAGGAAGACCGAAGAGGCCCGACAAACUGUCACGAAGAGGGCUGCAACGAAUGGUUUCUCAUUUUUUGGAUCUUGUUUAGGUCCAAAGAAUGGGAAGUCAUUGUUACUACUUUGUCACUAUGCUCGUUUUAGAGUCCAGUAGUAGUAGUAGUAGUAGUAGUAGUAGUUGUUGUGUUGUGUGUAGUAGUUGUAUUUAUUUGGCCGAUGUGCAUUCCGGCCCAACGUACAAUCAUCAUGGACAAAUGGGCAAUCGCGAUUUUUGAAUUAGUGUUGCGAUAAAUAAAUUACGGUUUGCAUUAGAGUUGCGAUAAAUAAAUUACGGUUUGCAUUAGAGUUGCGAAUAAAUAAUAAUCGCGUUUGCUUUAGUGUUGCGUUUUAAAAGAUAUAAUCGCGAUUUUUUUUAAUAAUCUUGAUAUAAAUUAAAUGUAAUUUUUUUUAUAAUUAAUAUUAAAAAUUUGUAUGUUUUUUUUGUUUCGAGUUUUAAUUAUAGUAUAGUAUAUUAAUUUCCAAUUUAUUUGUAUUCUUACUAAUAUUGUUUAUAUUAAAUUUAUUUUUAGAGUUAGUAGCGUUUUUUGCAUUUUAAAAAAUGAUCGCGUUUUUGAAAGUAGUGUUGCGUUAAAAAGUGAUCGCGUUUUUGAAAGUAGCGUUGCGUUAAAAAAUAAUCGUGUUUUUAAAAGUAGUGUUGCGUUAAAAAAAUUUCGCGUUUUUGAAAAUAGCGUUGCGUAUAUGAAAUGCCCAUAAUUCUUCCACUAAUAAAAUGUGGAAAUGGUCCUAUUUCUGAAUCACAAAAUGCAGUUACAAGAACUGCAAAAGUGUGGUCCCUUUUUGGGAUCACGAAAUUACCUUAUAGCCUCUUUUGGCUAUUUUUUUCAGCGUCCCUAAAUAUUGAAGCAUUUGUUUAUAAAAAUAUUGCUAAAAAAUUUAUUCGUAUGAAUUUUUUUAAUUUUUGUAAUAUUAUUUAAAAUCGUUAUGAUUAUAGUAAAAAUAUUAAUUUAUUUAAUAUUUUUACUAUGAUAUAUUAAUAUAAAUUCAGUGCAUUUGUUUGAAUUACAAUAAUUAUUCGUUGUCAAAAUUAAAAUUAAAUUUUUUUCUAUGUUAAAAUUUAAUUAAUUUUGUCUAUAUAACUAGUAUUUUUUAUUUUUUAAUUGUUUAUUUUUAAACUAGUUAUAUAAAUAUUCGAAAUUUCUGUGUGAAAUAUCAUAAUUCAAUUUUUACUUUUUUUCAGAUUUCAGAUUUUCAGAAUUCAUUUAUGUUUCAUUUAAUUGUUUUUUUUAAUAUAUAUUUCAGAUUUUUUUUAGAUUUAUUUCACUUUUCAAACUCAUGGGACAUGACGAGAUAUAUAUGUUUUAGCUUAAAGUUAGAUUUAAAUUUUAAUUUUAAAUAUAACAUAAGAUAGAUAUUUAAUUUAUGUAUUUAUUGUGAGCAUAUUCCAUAUGAAGGUACGCUUCUAACAUAGGAUAAAUUAAAAUAUUUUCAAUAUCUUUGUUUCUUUUUUUCUCGAAUGAAAUCAAAUUGUUCUUAUUCUUUUUUCGAUUUCUUCUUCUUUCGAUUUCUUCUUCUUUCGAUUUCUUCUUUUUUCGAUUUCUUCUUCUUUCGAUUUCUUCUUCUUUUUAGAGUUAGGCUUUUAUGAUUUUUUGGCAUUCGAUAAGAAUAAGGUCUUGUGGUCGAAUGUCGUUCUUGUAAAUCGGCUCUGAUGGUCGUGGAUUUAUUUUUUGUUCGUUCUUGUGUCGUCAAAACGUAAAUCGUUCUUCUGCUAGAUCAGUAAAUAUCUGUCUGGUGAUUCUCGUAAAUCCGUUAACAUAAGUUGUGAUAAAGUCUAUGAUUUAAAUUUUUUAAUUUCUUCUUAAUUUUUCUUUCAUUUUUCUUUCCUGGAUUUUUACAUUUCUUCUUGCGCUUGUUUUUCUGUUCUUUUUUUCCUUCUUUUUUGCAAUGAUUGAAGGCAUUUUUAUUUCGAUUGAAUAUCUAACAAUUCGUUUUUUUUUUUUAUUUCGUUUUAAAUAGGAGCGUAUCUUUGAUAUGGAUGAUGCCAGUAGGACAUAUAAAUCGUUAGAUUUAAGAUUUAGUAUUAAGAUCUAGAUUAAGUUAGAUUUAAGCCUCAUCGUUGGAUAACGUGAGAUUAAUUGCGAGAAGAAUUGCGAAAAAUGUAAAAAACUUUUGUAAAAAUCGAUGUAAAGAUCCUUGUAAUUUAUAUGUAUAUAAAUAUAUAAUUUAUAUUUUAAAUUA